UUCAGUAAGAUAUAACACUUUAAAUGUUAAGAUUAAAAACUUAAAUUGAAU
rnacentral:tRNA from 5 species